UACAGGCUUAACACAUGCAAGUCGAGGGGCAGCAUGGUCUUAGCUUGCUAAGGCCGAUGGCGACCGGCGCACGGGUGAGUAACACGUAUCCAACCUGCCGUCUACUCUUGGACAGCCUUCUGAAAGGAAGAUUAAUACAAGAUGGCAUCAUGAGUCCACAUGUUCACAUGAUUAAAGGUAUUCCGGUAGACGAUGGGGAUGCGUUCCAUUAGAUAGUAGGCGGGGUAACGGCCCACCUAGUCUUCGAUGGAUAGGGGUUCUGAGAGGAAGGUCCCCCACAUUGGAACUGAGACACGGUCCAAACUCCUACGGGAGGCAGCAGUGAGGAAUAUUGGUCAAUGGGCGAGAGCCUGAACCAGCCAAGUAGCGUGAAGGAUGACUGCCCUAUGGGUUGUAAACUUCUUUUAUAAAGGAAUAAAGUCGGGUAUGCAUACCCGUUUGCAUGUACUUUAUGAAUAAGGAUCGGCUAACUCCGUGCCAGCAGCCGCGGUAAUACGGAGGAUCCGAGCGUUAUCCGGAUUUAUUGGGUUUAAAGGGAGCGUAGAUGGAUGUUUAAGUCAGUUGUGAAAGUUUGCGGCUCAACCGUAAAAUUGCAGUUGAUACUGGAUAUCUUGAGUGCAGUUGAGGCAGGCGGAAUUCGUGGUGUAGCGGUGAAAUGCUUAGAUAUCACGAAGAACUCCGAUUGCGAAGGCAGCCUGCUAAGCUGCAACUGACAUUGAGGCUCGAAAGUGUGGGUAUCAAACAGGAUUAGAUACCCUGGUAGUCCACACGGUAAACGAUGAAUACUCGCUGUUUGCGAUAUACUGCAAGCGGCCAAGCGAAAGCGUUAAGCAUUCCACCUGGGGAGUACGCCGGCAACGGUGAAACUCAAAGGAAUUGACGGGGGCCCGCACAAGCGGAGGAACAUGUGGUUUAAUUCGAUGAUACGCGAGGAACCUUACCCGGGCUUAAAUUGCAGAUGAAUUACGGUGAAAGCCGUAAGCCGCAAGGCAUCUGUGAAGGUGCUGCAUGGUUGUCGUCAGCUCGUGCCGUGAGGUGUCGGCUUAAGUGCCAUAACGAGCGCAACCCUUGUUGUCAGUUACUAACAGGUUCUGCUGAGGACUCUGACAAGACUGCCAUCGUAAGAUGUGAGGAAGGUGGGGAUGACGUCAAAUCAGCACGGCCCUUACGUCCGGGGCUACACACGUGUUACAAUGGGGGGUACAGAGGGCCGCUACCACGCGAGUGGAUGCCAAUCCCAAAAACCUCUCUCAGUUCGGACUGGAGUCUGCAACCCGACUCCACGAAGCUGGAUUCGCUAGUAAUCGCGCAUCAGCCACGGCGCGGUGAAUACGUUCCCGGGCCUUGUACACACCGCCCGUCAAGCCAUGGGAGCCGGGGGUACCUGAAGUGCGUAACCGCGAGGAGCGCCCUAGGGUAAAACUGGUGACUGGGGCUAAGUCAUA
rnacentral:rRNA from 1 species